GGAGGGAUGGCCGAGUGGUUUAAGGCGCAUGCUUGGAAAGCAUGUGUGCGAAAGCACGCGCGGGUUCGAAUCCCACUCCCUCCGCCA
rnacentral:tRNA from 1 species